CGUGUAGGCGGGAAUGCAAGUCAGAUGUGAAAUUCCGAGGCUUAACCUCGGCGCUGCAUCUGAAACUGUGUUUCUUGAGUACUGGAGAGGAAAGCGGAAUUCCUAGUGUAGCGGUGAAAUGCGUAGAUAUUAGGAGGAACACCAGUGGCGAAGGCGGCUUUCUGGACAGUAACUGACGCUGAGGCGCGAAAGCGUGGGGAGCAAACAG
rnacentral:rRNA from 1 species